rnacentral:rRNA from 1 species
GAUUCCGUAGGUGAACCUGCGGAGGGAUCAUUACCGAGUUUACAACUCCCAAACCCCUGUGAACAUACCACUUGUUGCCUCGGCGGAUCAGCCCGCUCCCGGUAAAACGGGACGGCCCGCCAGAGGACCCCUAAACUCUGUUUCUAUAUGUAACUUCUGAGUAAAACCAUAAAUAAAUCAAAACUUUCAACAACGGAUCUCUUGGUUCUGGCAUCGAUGAAGAACGCAGCAAAAUGCGAUAAGUAAUGUGAAUUGCAGAAUUCAGUGAAUCAUCGAAUCUUUGAACGCACAUUGCGCCCGCCAGUAUUCUGGCGGGCAUGCCUGUUCGAGCGUCAUUUCAACCCUCAAGCACAGCUUGGUGUUGGGACUCGCGUUAAUUCGCGUUCCCCAAAUUGAUUGGCGGUCACGUCGAGCUUCCAUAGCGUAGUAGUAAAACCCUCGUUACUGGUAAUCGUCGCGGCCACGCCGUUAAACCCCAACUUCUGAAUGUUGACCUCGGAUCAGGUAGGAAUACCCGCUGAACUUAAGCAUAUCAAUAAGCGGAGGA